rnacentral:rRNA from 1 species
CCUACGGGGCGCAGCAGUGAGGAAUAUUGGUCAAUGGACGGAAGUCUGAACCAGCCAUGCCGCGUGCAGGAAGACGGCUCUAUGAGUUGUAAACUGCUUUUGUACAAGGGUAAACCUGAAUACGUGUAUUCAGCUGAAAGUACUGUACGAAUAAGGAUCGGCUAACUCCGUGCCAGCAGCCGCGGUAAUACGGAGGAUCCAAGCGUUAUCCGGAUUUAUUGGGUUUAAAGGGUGCGUAGGCGGAUUGAUAAGUUAGAGGUGAAAUGUCCGAGCUUAACUCGGGAACUGCCUCUAAUACUGUUGAUCUAGAGAGUAGAUGCGGUAGGCGGAAUGUAUGGUGUAGCGGUGAAAGGCUUAGAGAUCAUACAGAACACCGAUUGCGAAGGCAGCUUACCAAUCUAUAUCUGACGUUGAGGCACGAAAGCGUGGGGAGCAAACAGGAUUAGAUACCCCUGUAGUC